CCCUUCUUAAAUCAAAAAAAUCCUCAAAAAUCCAUAUGGAUUAGGCAUUCAAUCUAAAUUCUAGAAAAUAAAAAAUAGUAAUAAAAGUCUCAUGGAAGGAUGCUAUCCUUGCACCUCUUCACGUGAGUGCUGAUCACCACGUGUGCAGGCAUCAGGACCGACUUAUGGCAUCCGUUUGGCAUCUAGAUAGGUCUGAAAAAAUUCCAUAAAAAUUAUCAAAAAUAUAUUAUCAAGUUUAAAAUGUCAUCACCAAAAAUCAUUCU
rnacentral:lncRNA from 1 species